rnacentral:tRNA from 1 species
GGCGUAGCUCAGUUGGUUAGAGCGCCAGGUUGUGGCCCUGGAGGUCGUGGGUUCGACCCCCAUCG